GGUGAGGUGUCCGAGUGGCUGAAGGAGCACGCCUGGAAAGUGUGUAUACGGCAACGUAUCGGGGGUUCGCCCCCCCCCCUCACCGCCA
rnacentral:tRNA from 1 species